rnacentral:rRNA from 1 species
CGUAAAGCUCUGUUGUUAAAGAAGAACACGUAUGAGAGUAACUGUUCAUACGUUGACGGUAUUUAACCAGAAAGUCACGGCUAACUACGUGCCAGCAGCCGCGGUAAUACGUAGGUGGCAAGCGUUAUCCGGAUUUAUUGGGCGUAAAGAGAGUGCAGGCGGUUUUCUAAGUCUGAUGUGAAAGCCUUCGGCUUAACCGGAGAAGUGCAUCGGAAACUGGAUAACUUGAGUGCAGAAGAGGGUAGUGGAACUCCAUGUGUAGCGGUGGAAUGCGUAGAUAUAUGGAAGAACACCAGUGGCGAAGGCGGCUACCUGGUCUGCAACUGACGCUGAGACUCGAAAGCAUGGGUAGCGAACAGGAUUAGAUACCCUGGUAG